rnacentral:snRNA from 1 species
ACUCGCAUAUGUAUGAAUUUACAGAAAAACCUAAAAACAAAACAUAGAAGAUUAAAAUGGCCCCCGCGCAAGGAUGACACUGAAGAAAAAACAUUUUUU